AAUAAAUGAACUCGUCGAGCACGCGAAGCGUGGACAUCCACGAUAGCUGAAAUAUCGAAAUAUUCGCUUACCUCGUAAACUCGCGGUCGUUCGUGUGAGGGCGUUGUGUAAGAUCCAGAGGGCAAUAUGGCUGAUCGAACUACAAAGUGAUGUGACGAGAUCAACGUGUAAUCGCCGAAUGAAAAAUGACGCCACGAAGAAAGAGCGGGAAGAAGUGAGCAUUGCAGGGAGGGCACGUAUUAGGUUAUUGUAGAUUCAUUUGCAGUGUCGUAACGAUACGUUUUUGAACGUUCUUUUGGGCGGGAAGUUUUAAAAUUUGAUCUCGCUUAUAAAAAUCAUAGAUAUUGUACAGAUAUUAUUUAUAAUAGUGUAACGUUUUUAAGACAGUUAAUGACUUUACCUCGAUGCAAAUUAUAACAUGUUACAUAAAUAAAUAUAAAUUAUCGAUGAAAUGGAACGUAUUGUUUUGAAUCGGAAAUAUUCCAGGAUUUUCGAAUAGAGGUAAAAAAAUGAGUUAGUUAUCAGUUUACAUUUGAAAAAACAAAUGCGGUAAUCGUGGCUAAAUAUUUGUACAUCUACAUAUAAUUCAUUUUGAAUGCUACCAUUUUACAAUGUAUAUAUAAUGUAAAAUUUACAAAAUAUAAUCAAAGUUAUAUAAAAUUUACAAAAAUAGCUUAGCUGUGAUAUUUUGGGAAGAUAAUAUUAGGAUGAAUUUUAUAACAAAGCUCACAAUAUUUAUUGGUUAAUGUCAAAAAAUAUGAAAUGGGAAAAGUAAACGUAUCGGACAUAGUCAAAAUUUGAGAUAAAUAUAAUUCUAUAACAAUGAUCACUUCUUCUUUCUUUUUUUUCCUUUUUCUUUUUCUUUUAUAGUAAUCUAAUAAGAAUAACGAUUUUUAGCAAAAUGUAUCCAUGCCUAAAUGCUUGAAUUUUAUAAAAACCAUAUCAAGAAAUGGUCUCAUACAUUUUAGACUAGAUUUCAUACUUUAACGUAUUUUAUAUACCACGAUGAAUAUGGCAGUUUUCAAGAUCAGCAUUUUGUAUAUCGCUUCUUAAGAUAUAUAUAACUGCAAUUGCCAUUAAGACUGUCAAUAUUAUAGAAAAUAUUUGCAGAUAUUUUAAUUCUUUGUAUAAUUUGUUGCAAUUUUCUUCCAAAUGAAUUACCUAAAAUAUUGCAUGUAAUAUACAAUUUGAAAUACAUAUCCAUAAUGAUAAUGAAUUAAUUUUUAUUCCAUAUACCUUAGAACAAAGUGUGUCUAUUGUACGAUUCUCUUCUAUGGAACCAGAUGAUAAUAUAGAAUAUGUUUUCUGUA